CAGCAGCCACGGGAAUACGAAGGGGGCUAGCGUUGCUCGGAAUCACUGGGCGUAAAGGGUGCGUAGGCGGGUUUUUAAGUCAGAGGUGAAAUCCUGGAGCUCAACUCCAGAACUGCCUUUGAUACUGAAAGUCUUGAGUAUGGGAGAGGUGAGUGGAACUGCGAGUGUAGAGGUGAAAUUCGUAGAUAUUCGCAAGAACACCAGUGGCGAAGGCGGCUCACUGGCCCAUUACUGACGCUGAGGCACGAAAGCGUGGGGAGCAAACAGGAUUAGAUACCCCAGUAGUCCCUGUCUCUUAUAC
rnacentral:rRNA from 1 species